UUUAUUGGAGAGUUUGAUCCUGGCUCAGGACGAACGCUGGCGGCGUGCCUAAUACAUGCAAGUCGAGCGGACCUUUUAAAAGCUUGCUUUUAAAAGGUCAGCGGCGGACGGGUGAGUAACACGUGGGCAACCUGCCUGUAAGACUGGGAUAACUUCGGGAAACCGGAGCUAAUACCGGAUAAUAUAAAGAACCUCCUGGUUCUUUAUUGAAAGAUGGUUUCGGCUAUCACUUACAGAUGGGCCCGCGGCGCAUUAGCUAGUUGGUGAGGUAAUGGCUCACCAAGGCAACGAUGCGUAGCCGACCUGAGAGGGUGAUCGGCCACACUGGGACUGAGACACGGCCCAGACUCCUACGGGAGGCAGCAGUAGGGAAUCUUCCACAAUGGACGAAAGUCUGAUGGAGCAACGCCGCGUGAGCGAUGAAGGCCUUCGGGUCGUAAAGCUCUGUUGUUAGGGAAGAACAAGUGCGAGAGUAACUGCUCGCACCUUGACGGUACCUAA
rnacentral:rRNA from 1 species